GUGAAAGACUGACACUUUAGAGGUUAGGAGAUAAAAAGCCUGGUUUUCCAUUCUGGGGCCCUUUCCUGCUUUCUAGCUUGCUUGCUCUGACCAGCUGUGAGCUACCCUGGGGCAGGAAACAGAGGGAGGCCCUCUGGCCAACCCAGUGAGGAACUGAAACCCUCAGUCCAACAGCUCAAGAGGAACUGAGUCCGGCCUCCCAGAUGCCUGAGCCUCCAGAUGAGACUCCAAUCCUGGCUGACAUCUUAACUGCAACCUCCUGAGAGACCCUGAGUCAGAGGCCGCAAGGUGAGGCAGGCCCAGAUUCCUGACCCACAGGAUCUAUGAGCCUUCCUGCUCAUGGUGAUUGAGGGUUUCUGACAUCUGUGAUGGAUGCUGCAAUCCAACCUGGACAAACUCCUUUUGACUUCACCACAGCAGGGACCACGAACAGAACCAGACCAGCAAAGAUGCCCACGGUGGGGAUGGUGAGAUGAGGCGCCCAGACCUCAGGCUUGAGCCCUGACCUUGCUGAAGGUGUCCAGAAGGGCUUCUGCUUUCUCUGAGAAGCUCCACCUCUGAGCCCCCUCCUUAUACCAUCUCAGGGUGAUGGGCUUGUUGCAGUAAGCAGAUGUAUCUCAGCUCCUCUCCUGAAGGCAUGCCCAUGGCCACCCUCUUCUGGAAAGCCCUUGUCUCUGCAAGUUCCAUGUCCUGGAUCUGGACCUUCCUGUCACACUGCCAGAUCAGAGCGAUAUCUGCAGGGUAGAAGCCCAGGGCCCAGCACCUCAGGGUGACCUCAUGGGCAGAGAUGAGGUGGUGGGCUACGUGCAUCUUUGGGGAUACUGAGGAGGAAGACUGAGAAAAUUCCCACUUUGGGCGACCUUCACAGGCCACUGAAGCAGCACUCGUGCCCAUCCUGAGAAUGGACAGGACAAUUGGUUUAGAAGGAGGAAGCAGAAACCCCAGACAUCAGCCUGGACUGGGGAAUCUGGGAUAAUCUUCUACUCCUUGGAAAGUUCUAAAAUCAGGGUGAGAGCCUGUGGUAGGAGGCUCCAAGUAUCUAAGAAGAAGAACACAGACUGCAGCUCCUGACCUGGGUAGAGGGUGAAUGACUUAGAAAUACCGGAAUCAGGCCUCCAAGGAUGUUCUCAGGCAAAGAACAAGGGCUUGAGAGAGAAAGUCGUGGUGCACAAGACAGCUGCCGGGGUCAAAGGGAACCGCUGAUCAGUCGUUUCAGGGAUCGUCUCCCCCUCCAUUACGAGAGACUGUGUUCCUUAACAGUCCUUUAAGGAAACCAACGUUAAAAAUUAUAUUGUAUUAUUUGGUUUAUGUAGCAGUCUCAAAAAGACAGAACCGUAGUGGUGGAACACAGAUUAGUGGUUGCCAGGAGUUGGAGUGGGGGGAGGAUGUGAAUACAAAAGGGAAGCCUGAGAGAGUGUUUCGGGGGUGACUAAACUGCUCUGUUUAUAUAUUGGAUUAUGGUGAUGGUUGCACGAAUCUAUACAUGUGUUAAAAUUUAUGAAAUUGUACAUCAAAGAGUCAAUUUUAAUGUAUGAUAAUUAAAAAUAAAAACAAAAAUAGAGAAAAAAAAGAAAGAAAUAAAGAAAGAAAGGCGGGUCCUCUGGGCCAGUCACUCUGUAGUACAGAUGAAAAUCUAGGUGGACUUUUCCUUCUACA